rnacentral:misc_RNA from 1 species
AACGCAACUUGCACUUUCCAGGCCAAUGGAGAGUAUACUUGUUUGAGUAUCAGAAUAAUCUAUCCAACAGAUGUUGGGAGUUGAGGCGACACUUGUGUGCCUCUAAAUGGAUGCUGAUCAAAGUGCGGUAAAAGACGGAUGUUCUUUCCCACUGAGUGUCAUUAAACCGAAUUAUGAUCUCAAAUCAAGUAAGAGUACCCGCCGAACUUAA